AUUUUUCCACUGUACAGCAAGGGGAUCAAGUUAUCCUUACAUGUAUACAUUAAAUUUACAUUUUUCCCCAUCCUUUGUUCUGUUGCAACAUGAGUAUCUAGACAAAGUUCUCUAUUUCCCCUUAGUUCACUCAUCUCCAUUUUGAUGUAGUUUGGAAUUGGCUGGACUAGAGUUUAAAUGUUUGCGUUGCUAUCUAUUAGAUGCAUGGCUUACAAAAACGUGUACACCUAUGUGUCUUUAUUACACAUCGCACUUUGUAAAACUAUCAUAAAGGCCAACACAGAAAAUAGUAAUAUUAUAUCUGAAUUCAUUUCCUGUAGGGUUCAUCCAAGAGGUUUAAUUUUGCUCCCAGUCCUAAAAUAAUAAUUUUUCUCUCAUUUGUUUGGGUUACUUCACCUAAUUUCUCAGGAUUUUCUUUCAUAAAAACCAUAUAAUUUACAAUGUAAAGUUUUUUGUCCAAAUAAAGAUUUGAUGGAGAAUAUGUAAGAUAUUUAUUUCCUCAUAUGAAAACAGAUACCAUAUUACAAACAAAUUUCUUAUAAAUGAACAUUGUAGAAAACCCAUUUCUAAUGACAAAUGAUUCUUUAAGGGAAUAAGUUGUUUUGUUUUGCUUUUAAGCUUCACUAGGCAGUACACAGUGCUGCAACUCCUCUUCUAAGAAAACAAUAAAACCUUGUCUUCAUUUCUAGUCAAAUUAUGAAUCAAUGGUACUCUUCUUAGGAGUUAUAUGAACAUAAAAGUUUGCACUACAAAGUAGAAACCCUCUGUGUUAGAAUUUGGGGUUUUCUUUAAAAAAUUUUUUUUUAAUGACACACGUUUUCCUAAGUAAUUUCAAGGCUCCUUUGCUGUGAGUUCAAUUUUAUAUGUUGUCCUCACUAAAGUAGUCUCCACUGUCACAUCAACUUAGCUAUCAGAGCUAAAAAUGAAACAUGAAAAAUGCCUUUGAGGUAAAAUGUCUGCAGAACACACAUACACAGGCACACACAUGCACACACAGAGAGAACUAUGAAUCAAAACAGAUGCAGGUGAUCUCACUUAUAUGUGGAAUCCUAAAAAAGUCAAAUACGUAGAAGCAAAAAGUAGAACCAGCGUUAUGGGGGGUGGGGGUGGGGGCAUGGAGAGAUGUUGGUCAAAAGUUACAAAGUCGAAGUUAUGUCGAAAAAAAUAACUCCAGAAAUUGAAUGCACAGCAUGAUGACAAGAGUUAGCAAUACUGUUUUUAAUUGUUAAGAGAACAGAUUGCCCUCAUCACUGAGAGAGAGAGAGAGAGAGAGAGAGAGAGAGAGAGAGAGAGAGAACUAGUUUUUAUCAAAAGGAAAGAGAUGAGGAGGGAUAAAUUAGGAGCUUGGGAUUAACAUAUACACACUACUAUAUAUAAAAUACAUAACCAACAAGUACCUACUGUAUAGCACAGGGAAUUAUACUCAGUAUUUUUUAAUAACCCAUAAGGCAAAAAGAAUCUGAAAAAGCAUAUAUAUAUAUAUGAAUCACUUUGUUGUACACCUGAAUUUAACACAAUUUAAAUCAACUAUACUUCAAUUUUUAAAAAAAGAAAGAAAAGAGAGCAGGCACAGUGAGUCUUAAAUCAAUCACCAAAAUGAUGUCAGGUGGGUCAUUUUAAAACAGACUCAAGCCU
rnacentral:lncRNA from 1 species